CUCCCCAAAAACUCUUGUUACAAUAAUUGCAUACAAGAUGUAAUUGAUUUCCAUUGCCUCCUUUGCCAUCAUUAAAUUUUUUACAAUGAUUCCAAGUAGGAUCCAUGACUUUAAAUUUUUUUCUUGGUGCCAUUAUUCAAUAAAAUAAUAAUACACAAUUCCACUAUAAAGUAUGUAAGUUAAUCCCUGUUAAAAAAAUAAAAAUUGUUAAAAAAAUUACUUAAAAAAAAUUUAAUCUUUCUGUUAUGUUUAUUAUUAUCUUUAUUUAUUUAUUUUUUUGGAUGAGGAUUUAAGUGGAAAAGUACUUAUCUAAAGAAGGUGAGAACAUCAUUUUAAGUGACUAUUACUUGUUGGUGGCAACGAAACCAGAGCGGGACCUCUCCAGUUCCCCUCUCACCUCUUGGUUUCGAAGCUUCGAGAAGUCCAACUUAAAAAAAAAAAGGAAGAGGGACCAUAGCCCAGAGAGAGCUUCGAUCUGAUCGGAGAAAAAAAAGGGUUCGCAGGCGGUAUUGGGGAAGAGAAAUAGAGAGUUUCGGGUGGCUUUGGGGAAGAGAAACAGAGGGCUUCGGACGGCUUCGGGGAAGAAAAACAGGAAAAAAACAGAGGGAUAGGGAAGUAGGCUUCGGUCCGAUAUUAAAAAAAAAGAG
rnacentral:lncRNA from 1 species